CUAGCUGUCACCGCAAGGUUUCUGCUUCGGCAGAGCAGUUUUCGCGGCGCGCCAGGGGCGCGCCGCUCCGGCCUCGCCGGAAUCACUAACGGGUCGGUGGGUUCACCGGC
rfam:Pseudomonas tuomuerensis strain JCM 14085 PT85_3, whole genome shotgun sequence.